rnacentral:lncRNA from 10 species
CGCUUCAGCCCCUCCCCUGGCUACGGCUGUGCUCGGCACCUCUUUGCGCAGGAAGAUCUUCCAGGGGGCGUCCUGAUAGCCGUAGAAGUUGGGAUUGAUGAGGCGGUGCAGCCGCGUCUGCGAUCAUCAGGGCCUCCUCAUGAGGGUCUGGCCGCUUCAUGAACACUUUCCCGCCAUCCUUCCUGUGGGCAUUGGAGUACUGUGGUGGGUUGACACUGAGUCUCCCUUUCCCAUCACAUAGUUUGACAGUAGGAAACUUCCUCCUCCUCCACCACCCCCUAUCAUUAUAAAUGAGAAUCCAGGGAGAAGCAGAGACUGGCCUGAAGUCCUACAGCACAACCUAGACAACAGCAGGGCCUCAUCUGGACUCAUCAGUAUAAAGAAACUCCCUCCCUAACAGGAGCUGGGCAGGGCGCUUCAACCCAGGCAACCUUGGAUGAUUAUCUGCCCUCUCUGAGCCUCUCCUCCAAGUUUUCACCUAUAAAAGGGACAGCUGAGGGUUCAACUCAACCCAGGCCCAAUGAGCCCAAUCCCUACCAGCCAUUCCUCAUGCUUCCCUCACCCCCACAUCCUACAUCUCCUGCAGCUAAGCCUGGCCAAGAGCAGCACUGGUGCAGGCCCACAGUAGCUAGAGAGGGAACCUAGCACCAUGCCCUCAGGAAAGCCCCAGGCAGGCAGACCAGCAACGGCCUUACCCUGCUGUCAGCUGCCACAGAGUCACAAGACUGGCCAGGUGAUGUCCAUUUGCUGCAUGCUGGCCUAAGCAAGAUUCUGUAUACUCUAACUCACAGCCACCCUGUUAGGUGGGUUCUGUUGCCAUCCCCAAAUUAUAGGGAAGAAACAGGUUCAGAGAGGGACAGUGACUUGUCUCAGGCCACACAGCAGGUAAGUAUCAGAGCUGAGAUUCACACCCAG